rnacentral:rRNA from 1 species
GUAGGUGGCAAGCGUUGUCCGGAAUUAUUGGGCGUAAAGCGCGCGCAGGCGGUUCUUUAAGUCUGAUGUGAAAGCCCACGGCUCAACCGUGGAGGGUCAUUGGAAACUGGAGAACUUGAGUACAGAAGAGGAAAGCGGAAUUCCACGUGUAGCGGUGAAAUGCGUAGAGAUGUGGAGGAACACCAGUGGCGAAGGCGGCUUUCUGGUCUGUAACUGACGCUGAGGCGCGAAAGCGUGGGGAGCAAACAGGAUUAGAUACCCUGGUAGUCCACGCCGUAAACGAUGAGUGCUAAGUGUUAGGGGGGUUUCCGCCCCCCUUGGUGCUGCAGCUAACGCAUUAAGCACUCCGCCUGGGAGUACGGCCGCAAGGCUG